CCAUCUCCUUGCUUGGGAAUCAUAUCUCUUUAGUUAAAUCGACCAUUUUCAUCUCUCCAUCAUCUGUGAAGAAAGAAGAAGCCCCCCAGAGUGAGGCACCGGGCAUGGAGGACUGCCAUCAUGGAAGGACUCCUACCUGUUCACGGCUUGCUCCAGCACCAAUGUCUCAGUCCACCUGCUCCCUUCUCUCCAUCCACUCUGAGUGGCAAGAAAGGCCCCUGUGUGAGCACACAAGAACUCUGAGCACUCACAGUGUGCCCAACAUAUCAGGGGUUACCUGUAGUGCCUUCGCUUCCCCUUUUGGGUGUCCUUACUCACAUAGACAUGCCACCUACCCUCACUGAGUGUGCUCUGUGGAUCCUCCUUCAGCCAUAGAAAUGCAGUUGCGUAGAGUAUUACACGGUAUUAGAAACUCACUGCAGAAUCUUUCACAGUACCCUAGGAUGAGAGGACCUGAUCUUGCUGCUGCUCCAUAUAGUACUCAGAAAUCAUCUGUUCUACCUCUUUAUGAAAAUACUUUUCAGGAGCUCCAGGUAAUGAAGUGAAGCCUGAAUUUGUUUAGAACACAAAUGAUGGAUUUAGAAUUGGCAAUGCUGUGUCAGCAGAGCAUGGUUUAUCAUCACAUGACUGAGGAGGAAAGGUUUGAAUUUGAUCAGCUCCAGGGCUUGAGAAAUUCCGUCCGAAUAGAACUUCAGGACCUGGAACUGCAGCUGGAGGAGUGCCUGCUGGGCCUGCAGGAGCAGCUUCGUGCUGUGCGCAUGCCUUCACCCUUCCGCUCCUCCGCACUCAUGGGAAUGUGUGGCAGUAGAAGCGCUGAUAACUUGUCAUGCCCUUCUCCAUCAAAUGUAAUGGAACUAGUCACCGAACUGAUACAGGAACAGUCAUGCCUGAAGUCUGAAUUGGGCCUAGGACUUGGAGAAAUGGGAUUUGAAAUUCCUCUUGGAGAAAGCUCAGAAUCUGUUUUUUUCCCAAGCAACAUCAGAAUCAUCAUCUGUAUGUUCUGGUCCCUCUCAUGCUAAUAAAAAAACUGGAGUACCUUCCACUGCUUCAGUGGGCAAAUCCAAAACCCCAUUAGUGGCGAGGAAGAAAGAAUUCCGAGCAUCGGUGGCUCUAAUGCCAACGGCUCCUUCUAGAACAGGCUCUGUACAGACACCUCCAGAUUUGGGAAGUUCUGAGGAAGUUGAUGCAGCUGAAGAAGCCCCAGUGGUUAUAGGACCUAAAUCUGAAGUGGAAGAAGGGCAUGGAAAACUCCCAGUAAUGCCAGCUGCUGAGGAAAUGCAUAAAAAUGUGGAGCAAGAUGAGUUGCAGCAAGUCAUAUGGAAGAUUAGGGUCUAUCGUUGGGGAAAUCAGACGGGAAAUUGCAAGUGGACUUUUGGCAGCAGUAUCUUCAAGUAAAGCAUCUAAUUCUAAGCAAGAUAAUCAUUAAAUAGAAAUUAUAGGCUGACAUGGAUCCUAUUAGCUGUGUAAUACUGGAGUUACCAAUGAUAGGCACUAGUGGAGGUGUUACUUGUGCUUUGGAAGAUACUUGCUGCUGAACUGGGCUACUGUAUACAGUGUACAAUGUGUAUUUCUUCAAGUGUAUCUUUUAAAAAAACAUACAUAGAAACUUAGGCACUUUGCUAUUUCUUUUCUAAACUAUCAAAAACUGUAGCAGUUUG